GACGAACGCUGGCGGCGUGCUUAACACAUGCAAGUCGAACGGAAAGGCCCUGCUUUUGUGGGGUGCUCGAGUGGCGAACGGGUGAGUAACACGUGAGUAACCUGCCCUUGACUUUGGGAUAACUUCAGGAAACUGGGGCUAAUACCGGAUAGGAGCUCCUGCUGCAUGGUGGGGGUUGGAAAGUUUCGGCGGUUGGGGAUGGAUUCGCGGCUUAUCAGCUUGUUUGUGGGGUAGUGGCUUACCAAGGCUUUGACGGGUAGCCGGCCUGAGAGGGUGACCGGCCACAUUGGGACUGAGAGACGGCCCAGACUCCUACGGGAGGCAGCAGUGGGGAAUAUUGCACAAUGGGCGGAAGCCUGAUGCAGCAACGCCGCGUGCGUGAUGACGGCCUUCGGGUUGUAAACCGCUUUCGCCUGUGACGAAGCGUGAGUGACGGUAAUGGGUAAAGAAGCACCGGCUAACUACGUG
rnacentral:rRNA from 1 species